AUUUAAAGCCUUCGUCACAUCAACAUCCUAAAAAGAGCUAGUCAAAAACUCAAAAAAUACAACAUCAUGUAUGCUGAGGGAAUGUACAUCAAUUAUAACAAAGCAAACUCCGUCUGUGGAUCUCGACUCAAAUACAGACAUGAGUACUCCUCAUCCCUAUCUCUAGCCUCGACCUCAUCUUCUUCAUCCUCCAAGGAGAUCAGCUCCAGAAACGAUCAACGGAGAGCUAGCUAUGGAAGUACGACAAAGAAAUCGAUGUGAUAAUGAAAAUCACUAAUCGAUUAUUCUCUCUCCACUGAGUGUAUUCUCUCCUAAAAAGUACAAAAAUAAGACAUUAAUAUGUCUUGCUAUUUUAUGAAGUUAUAAUAUGUUUUUAAUGUUUGUUAUAUUAAUGAUCAAUAAAGUAAAAAUACUCAA
rnacentral:lncRNA from 1 species